rnacentral:rRNA from 1 species
UACGAAGGGGGCUAGCGUUGCUCGGAAUCACUGGGCGUAAAGGGUGCGUAGGCGGGUCUUUAAGUCAGAGGUGAAAUCCUGGAGCUCAACUCCAGGACUGCCUUUGAUACUGAGAAGCUUGAGUCCGGGAGAGGUGAGUGGAACUGCGAGUGUAGAGGUGAAAUUCGUAGAUAUUCGCAAGAACACCAGUGGCGAAGGCGGCUCACUGGCCCGGUACUGACGCUGAGGUGCGAAAGCGUGGGGAGCAAACAGG